rnacentral:rRNA from 1 species
AGGACGAACGCUGGCGGCGUGCUUAACACAUGCAAGUCGAGCGGAAAGGCCCUUCGGGGUACUCGAGCGGCGAACGGGUGAGUAACACGUGAGUAAUCUGCCCCUAGCUCUGGGAUAGCUCCGGGAAACCGGGAUUAAUACCGGAUACGACCACCUUAGACAUCUUUUGUGGUGGAAAGAAUUUCGGCUAGGGAUGAGCUCGCGGCCUAUCAGCUUGUUGGUGGGGUAACGCCUACCAAGGCGACGACGGGUAGCCGGCCUGAGAGGGCGACCGGCCGACACUGGGACUGAGACACGGCCCAGACUCCUACGGGAGGCAGCAGUGGGGAAUAUUGCGCAAUGGGCGAAAGCCUGACGCAGCGACGCCGCGUGGGGGAUGAAGGCCUUCGGGUUGUAAACCCCUUUCAGCAGGGACGAAGCGAAAGUGACGGUACCUGCAGAAGAAGCGCCGGCUAACUACGCGCCAGCAGCCGC